UGAUGACGAGCAGCCACACUGACAGCAGCAUCUCCGCUCUGUCGCCCUGCGCCUGUCAGCGGUCACAGGGAACCGGCCGGGACUCCUCCAGCUUAACUUCAUAAACAGUCCGGUGCUGACUGCCCACAGUCGCGCGCGCGCACACUGCCAAGCCACAUUGCCAAACGGCCGGGCAGAUUCUGGUGACCUACUUACUUCACAGCAACAGUUUCCCGCCUCACAAACAAUUUGCACAAGAUCGGUGUUCAUUUUUGAACAUUUUACAUGAACGCGUUUUGCAGCUGAAGCGCGCGCGGAGGAGAGGACACUAAAAGUAGCCUACCAACGCGUGGACGGCGGACACACAGGGGAGGACUAUAGGAAGAAUCUGUAGAGUGGAAGUGACUAACGUGGCACCAGUUGCAGACUUCAGACCCAUCUCUGAGGUGUGAUGUGAUGCCUCAUAAUAAUAAUAAUAAUAAUAAUAAUGACACUGGAGGCUGCAGUCCAGCACCAUGGAGCAUGAUCUGAGGAUGGGCAUGUCUGUGUGGGCCAUUAUGGCCAUCGCUUGUAACUCUGCGGUGGGCGUCCUCAUCCUCAUCCUGUUCGUCAUCCUCUACAAGGCCUGCAAGGUGCCAUCACACCAAGAGAAAGUGCCAGUUUUCACAGCAAUGCCGGAGAAGAAGAAGGCUAAACAGAAGUACCUGCUGACUGCAGCCUGAUCGUCAGAGCCACACGGAAUCUGCAGGCGCAGAAUUCAGCAGAAUUGUCUGCAGAUUUUCUGCAGAUUUUAAACAAUUUAAAAAAACAAUUCAUUCUGGAUCACACAUUCCGUUUGGGUUUGCUGAUCAUAUAGGACACGGACUUGAGAUGUAGACAUAAUUCAAAUUUGUCCAUCUAGAGUCCACAAGUUGAGCUACAGAGUGUCAGAGGACAAGCUGGACUCUGAACUCUGAAGCGAUAUUCGAUAUUUCAUUUCCUCCACAAUUCUGUCAUUAUUUUCACUCAGUAACUCCUGUUUACUUACAUGAACAUACAUGUUCACAUUUUUCCACCAUCAGCCCCUCAUCUACGCCAUGCAGUGGAGCUUAAAGUGAGCUAGCUGCAUUAAGACUUGUGGCAACGCCAACAACCACAACAACAACAAGUGGGCCCAAUCCUCUUAUCUCUGCUGUGCGUCGCUGGGACUGUCCAUCUGUCAGCCUGUUUGCUUUGCUCUACACACGUAGACCAUGAUCUCCUCCCGUACGACAACCUUUUUCAUCCCUCUGUAUGACACAACUGAGAGGAUGCGGAGGAGAAAUUGCAAAGACAGAAUGGAUUGUAACGGGAGAGUUUGGUCUGAUGCUGUUGGUUGAGAGUUACAAUAACAUUUUAAAGGUAAAGAGAAAAAGUAGCUGACAAACGGCUUGGCGUUUGCCAACUGCAGCACUUCUGACGGCAGCGACAGAGCUGCCAAAACCAAAAGCCUGAAAGAGUCAGGAAGGAGAGAGAGAUGCUGCUGGAGGGGGUGGGAGAGGGAGACAGAUGGAGAUAAAGGACAGAUAUUUGGAGGGGAUGAUAAAGAGCAGGGGAAGAAUGGGAGAGGGGAUGCUUUGAUGUGUUGUUUAUAGAAAAGGGAGCCCGAGGCUCCUGUUUGACAGUCUCCUUAUUUGACACACAAGCUUCCACCGAUCCAACCGCCCUGGGAUGAAAAGCAGCUGCGAAAAAAAGUUACUUGUG